CACAUUUGUUGGGUUUUCAUGUUUUAUGGGGUCAUUCCAUAGACAUUUUUUACAGAAAAGGACCAGAAAUAAAUUAAACUGGAUGGUAAACAUUUGAGUAUUUCAUAAUAAAUGUUUAUUAAUAGUUGUUACAGUAUGAAGUAUAGAACACAGAUGAUGAAUUUGCAUUAUAUGAUUAUAGUUUUGCCUUUGGGUAAUAUAAAUCACUAGACAGUCUUUGAAAAAUGUAUGUUGUUUUAUAAACCAUUUAAUAUAAUGCCCUCCAUAGAAAUAAGUAAAAAACAUUUUUCAGUCAAUUUGCUAAUCAUAUGUUGGCAUACAUAUUCAUCAUUGGGAUUUAUUCUGUAUCACCUGUAUGAUCCCACAAACAUUUUACUGUUUAGGAUAGAGACCUGUCUUCUGCACCCCAAAAGCAGUGAUGAAGAUGUUGAUGAUGACGAGAGCCCCAACGAGCACUUGGAAGAAGAGUGACACGGCGAUGAGGAGGAUGACAGUGAGUCGGGGCCCUGCUCCAGGACAGCUUUCAGCUGAGAGACGUUAGCCAUCAGCAGCGCUACAUCCAGCAUGCUCUCUGCUACACUCUUCUUAGUGAAAUGAUGAUUUAUGUUGAGAGGUUCUGCAGG